GUGGUCAGAAGUUCCUGGGGCCAGCUGUUUGCUGCCUUCUGGCAAUGUUACCAGGAUUCCUAUAGCAAAUAUGUCUUAACCAAAGUUAAGUACAUCAAAAGGCGGCUAGUAACCAGAAACUUCUGUCCCAGAAACUCCUGAUGAAUACUAACAGAUGCCACACUGGGCAGAGCACACAUUUCCUGCCAAAGUUGCUUACUCAGUGUACAUCCCAGGAGGACUCUAUUAUGAACCCACAGAAUCAGACCGUGACCACCUUCACUCGGACCAUCAACCAAACUUGGCUGCUGGUGGCAGAAGUGGUGUUGUAAACAUGUAAGAUGUGUUUUGUGUUUACUGUGUGAACUCUGACAACAGAAGCUGGGCCAAAAUUUGUGGAGAAGCGUCUGUCUCUCUAACUUAUUUGGUCUCUAGAGCUGUCAGAGAAUUUUGUCUUGCCCAGUUCAAAAGCAGUGUGACCAAGACAAUGAAGGGAUUUAUGUAUAUCUUGGCCAGGCAACAACGUGAGGCAAACUCU
rnacentral:lncRNA from 1 species